GCCCACCUCAGCCUCCCAAAAUGCUGGGAUUACAGGCAUGAGCCAUUGCGCCUGGCCUGUGCUGAACAUUUUUAU
rnacentral:miRNA from 1 species